rnacentral:rRNA from 1 species
GACAGAGGGUGCAAACGUUGUCCGGAAUUACUGGGCGUAAAGCGCGCGUAGGCGGCUACGUGUGUCGGGCGUGAAAUCCCAUGGCUCAACCAUGGAAGUGCACCCGAAACUGCGUAGCUAGAGUCCUGGAGAGGAAGGUGGAAUGCUUGGUGUAGAGGUGAAAUUCGUAGAUAUCAAGCGGAACACCGGUGGCGAAGGCGGCCUUCUGGGCAGUGACUGACGCUGAGACGCGAAAGCGUGGGGAGCAAACAGG